UACGUAGGCGGAAUAUUAAGUCAGUGGUGAAAUCCUGCAGCUUAACUGUAGAAUUGCCAUUGAUACUGAUCUUCUUGAAUUUAGUUGAGGUGGGCGGAAUGUGUAAUGUAGCGGUGAAAUGCUUAGAUAUUACACAGAACACCGACUGCGAAGGCAGCUCACUAAACUAACAUUGACGCUAAGGUACGAAAGCGUGGGGAGCGAACAGGAUUAGAUACCCUGGUAGUCC
rnacentral:rRNA from 1 species